GGGGCUGACUGGCUUUGACAGCGUGUAGAGGUGGUGUGUAAGCACGCAGAGAAAUGAUGGCUACUCUCUUUAAACAGGGACAUCAACAAUUUUAAAUGGCGAAAAUAACUACGCUCUUGCUGCUUAAUUGAAGUAUAGUAGAUUAGCUUAAUCUCUGCAACAGUUGCGGAGACAAGACAUCACCCAAUUGUCCUUUUCCCGAUACGGAUUGAACAGGUGGUGCAGGUAAAUCGGGAAUAGGUGAUCAAGAGCCUCGCGCGAUUGCCGAAAUUUUAGAGGAUAAGGUUGUGGUUGGUUGUCUUUUGCCUGCCACUGCUCGAAAACCAAGAAAAGACUAAGCGUGUAGAAAGCUCAUUAGUUCCGCGUUUGGACGAGGGUUCAAACCCCUCCAGCUCCACAU
rnacentral:tmRNA from 1 species